UACGUAGGGUGCAAGCGUUAAUCGGAAUUACUGGGCGUAAAGUGUGCGCAGGCGGCCAUGCAAGUCGAGUGUGAAAGCCCCGGGCUUAACUUGGGAAUUGCGCUCGAAACUACGUGGCUGGAGUGUGGCAGAGGAAGGUGGAAUUCCACGUGUAGCGGUGAAAUGCGUAGGAGAAUGUGGAGGAACACCAAUGGCGAAGGCAGCCGAUUCUAGG
rnacentral:rRNA from 1 species